rnacentral:lncRNA from 1 species
AGAUAAGGAAACUUUAUGAUGACGACACACCCAAAAUCUUUUUCCGAGUCCUCAAUAAAAUUACAUAAAUAAAGACAAUAAAAUCCCCCAACAAUUUCUAUCUUGGCUCCUAAGUUUGCUUUGUAAUGAAGCAUGAAGGGUCGCAUUCAAAAUCAUACGGUUUCACCCACUUACGAGUGAAGAGGUCUGUUUGCACCAUUUGAUCUCAGCUUACGUCUCACUUGCCUUCGUUAGUGCUCUCACCUGGCACGGGCUGGCAGAGAGCUAAAAAUGGAUGUAAUAGAAAUAGAAGUGUCAAGAGAUGGAAUUUAAAGGCUUACCACUAUGGAAUGGAAC